AAUAUUUCUGGACCUGACUGUAUGUAUUUUUCACCUAGUCCAGGACUCCAAUUUUUAAAUUACUUUUUAAUUAUUUACUAACCAUAUUCACAUAAGGCCCUCUAAGUGGGCCUUACAAAUCCUUAUGAUUGUAUUACUUCUGGAUUUUUGUUUGUUUUAGAAUUAGUAUUUCAUUAAAUAGUCACUUAAUUGCCCUGUGAUUACAUUCAUAUAAUCAUGGCAAGUGGCCCAGAAUGCUGUUUCUGUUAUUACUCUUUAUCUUUUAUGACAAUUUAAAACAAAGAAACAAACUUCUGCACAUCAGUUUCUUUACAGUUUUAAACAGUAUUAAAAUAUGUGUAACGAAUUAAUAAAACUUUGUUAUAAUCACAACUCAGCAAUAUUACACAUAAGAUAUAUAGAACUCAAAAAGAGUGCUUAUACAGUAUCAUGUCUACAUAUAUCCAAAUUCACUAAUUUUGUAGGAAUGUUAUGAACAAUCCACUGUUAUCUCAGACAGGGCUUUACCUUCUACUGCACAGAAUUUGGCUACGUGUGCAAUGCACAUGUACGUAUGUCUGUAAUGGUAGUGCUAGGCUGCCUGUUUAACAGCAGGGGGGAGACAUUGUAAUUGACUGGACAACAAUUACUAGAGACAGCAAUUGUUAAGACACAUCUAGCUUCUUCAGCAGUGAGCAUGCUUGCUCCUCCGAGGAAAUCUUACUAAACAAACCUAGCAAGGCAGAUGGCAGAAUAUUAAAGCAGGCCCAAGAGAAAGUUCUAUGCUGUUUAGGCAGUUCUAAAGCUGUAAGAUAGCUGGCUUGAUACUGUUGUUCAGUUUCAAAGUCCUAACAUCAUUAACUACUAGAAGUAGACCAGUUUGCCAUUCUACAUCCAUAGCUCAUUGUUUUAAGACUCUCUCUACUUACUUGUAUUUCCUUGGUAACAAAAGCUCUGAUGAGACCAUGUGACAGCAAUUUGUCCAAUGAGGGUUUUUCCAUUGUGCCUCCUGUUUUAUUUGAUUGUUAAGGGGAUCAAGCCCGUUGGGCAAAAUUUUAGCUUUAGCCAGAAACUGAAAAUUACCAGCCAUGCUUGAAUCUCUACCCUAGGUAGAUCUCCUUCUACUCACAAAUUUGUACUUGUCAUACAUCAGGGAAUCAAAAGUUUUUGCUGACCUGACUCCAGUUGGAAUAUAGGCCAAACUGUGCUUUAUAGAAAGCUAUGUACAAUAAAGAACAUGUAAAAUCAAUAUUCCAAAAACAUAUUUUAAAUCGAUUUAUAUGUCAAGUUGUUUUUAUGGACAAAAAACAAAGGUUCCCUGGCAACUCCCCCCUCCCUUCCAACUUUUCUAAAGCACCUCCCCAUUUUGAUCAGCUUGAGUAAAUUUGGAAACCAUUCAAACUUUCUCAUUUAGGCUGGCCUUUGAAGGUAUAUCACUAUUGUUUGCUUUAUCUAUCUUUAUCCUAGGACUGUUGGAUUUGCAAGCAAAUCAGAAGCUAAGUAAAUAAUCUAGCCAUUAAAUUCAACAUUUUGAGGACUUGGCACUGAAUAUGUUUGAGUGAAAUCAUUAAUGCACUGUCUGUCUGUAUUUAGGUGCCAAAAGGUUUGCCUUACUUCUCUGUAGACUUUGGCCUCCAAGAUGGUUUUGCUCAUGUCAUUGAAGAUCAGUACAAGUUCCCCUUUUACUUUGGAAAGGAAAUAAUUGGUGGCAUGCUAGAUUUGGAGCCACGGCUUUGGAGAAAAGGACGACGAGAAAAUUUUGAAGACCAGAGAAAGAAAGUGUUGCAUUUUGCUCAGAAAUGGAAACUGUAUGACUUUACUAAAAGUAAAGAGUGAAAAUAUACAGCAGAUGCUGAUAUAUAUUCAAUCACUGGAAAGCUAAUGAACCAUCACAAACUAUAACAUUCUUUUUAUAGAAGAACUCAUGUUGAAAAUAAUAAAGAUGUUUUCCACAGUG